rnacentral:misc_RNA from 1 species
UGAAAGGCGAAACGUAAUGUGAAUCGCAACUAACAGUGAAUCAUCGAAUCUUUGAACGCAGGCCGCACCUUACAAUUUCACUCUGUGACAUUGCAAGGUAUCUACGUAUGAGUGUCAGCCCAAUAUACUUUUGGUUUAGGAGGAAUUUAUAUUUGAAUGUUUUUUAUUCAAAGAUAAAAACUCUUAAAUACAUAUAUAUAACUUACUUUAUAUAUGUCUGGCCUCAUAUGUGGAAGGUUACCCGCUGGAUUUAA